rnacentral:rRNA from 1 species
ACGCACGCUGGCGGCGUGCUUAACACAUGCAAGUCGAGCGACGCUCUUCCUUCGGGGAGAUGACGGAGCGGCGAACGGGUGAGUAACACGUGGGCAACCUGCCCCUAGCUCUGGGACAACACCGGGAAACCGGUGCUAAUACCGGAUACGACAUCGAGCGGCAUCUCUCGAUGUGGAAAGUUUUUUCGGCUAGGGAUGGGCCCGCGGCCUAUCAGCUUGUUGGUGGGGUAAUGGCCCACCAAGGCGACGACGGGUAGCCGGCCUGAGAGGGCGACCGGCCACAUUGGGACUGAGACACGGCCCAGACUCCUACGGGAGGCAGCAGUGGGGAAUAUUGCGCAAUGGGCGAAAGCCUGACGCAGCGACGCCGCGUGAGGGAUGACGGCCUUCGGGUUGUAAACCUCUUUCAGCAGGGACGAAUUCAGACGGUACCUGCAGAAGAAGCACCGGCCAACUACGUG